rnacentral:lncRNA from 9 species
AUGCAAUGGAACGUACCAAAGACUGUAUUCCGACUGGGACAUAGGACAUUCAUGGAACCACAUAAAGCAGGUCUUUUUGGACUCUGUCAAAACAUAAAGGGACCAUUGCUUUUGUAUAACUCGGAAUCCAGAGUGGUUUUGGCACAGGGCCCUCAGAAGCGAUGGCUGCUCUUACCUGCUGCUCAGUGUUCUGCAAAGGAAAGGAAGCCAUUCACUGCUCACCCACCCCAACCAGGGGUCCUUCACCACAAGCAGCGGGAGCACAAGCUCUUGCCCAAGAGGGUUCUGUCAUCCAGUGCCAUGUCCCCAGGAACUCCCGGAAAAAAGGAAGAGCCUGAUCCUUUACAAGACAGAUCUAUUAGUCUUUAUCAACGGUUUAAGAAAACAUUUAGACAAUAUGGAAAAGUUUUGAUUCCAGUGCAUCUAAUAACUUCUGCUGUUUGGUUUGGAACAUUUUAUUAUGCAGCCAUAAAAGGAGUGAAUGUCGUUCCUUUUCUAGAACUUAUUGGGUUACCUGACAGCGUAGUAAACAUUCUGAAAAAUUCCCAGAGUGGAAAUGCACUAACAGCAUAUGCCCUGUUUAAGAUUGCGACGCCUGCAAGGUACACCGUGACCUUGGGAGGGACCUCCUUCACUGUGAAGUACCUGCGCAGCCAUGGCUACAUGUCGACGCCGCCUCCUGUGAAGGAGUACCUGCAGGACAGGAUGGAGGAGACCAAGGAGCUGCUCUCAGAGAAGAUGGAGGAGACCAAGGACAGACUCACUGAAAAACUGCAAGAAACCAAAGGAAAGGUUUCCUUAAAGAAAAAGGUGGAAUAGGGGGCCUCAUAGGCCAGGUUUAUAGACAAUUCCUGCACUUUAACCCUUUGGAGACUAUGGGCAGAGAUUCAUGCUCCUGAUUAUUUUUUUGGUUAGCAGCCUAAAUAUAGCAGAUCUCUGAGGGUUAAAGAACUAAUAACUUUUCAAAGGUAAACAUCACUAGAAAAGUCAGUGUUUUUUAAAAGAGAAAUGAACCCAGCAAAAGAAUUCCACAGUAGCAGCGGUAAGCAGUGGUCUGCGUUGCCAGAGCCCUCCUCCUUUUGUUUUUAGUUGCAGCUGUAAUUCAUGCAGACGAGGCAGCCUGGGAGCAGGUGGUACGGCCCUAGGCAGUUUUAAUACUGCGUCUUCAUCUUUGUUGUUCAUUGAGGUUUAACUAUAUUCCAUUCUCAGUGUGUAGACAAACUGUUAACAGAACUGCCUACUAAAUAAGAGAUAUUUAGUCUUUCUCUAAAAACAGUGUAUAACAGUAUUUUAACAUCUAGUUAUGUGGAUUUCAUAUGAAAAAAGCUGAAUGAAAAUUGAGUCGUAUAUGUGAAGAAGAUAUAUUGGUUAUGUGUAAAUGAAAAAAUUGACCCUUUAAAAAUGAUUUUUACCUGAAGCUUGUCAUAAUCAAAUUUCUUAAGCAAGUCUGCGUGGUCACAGCACUUUCUCACUCAGAACGUAAAACUCUGUUGUUCCUGCACCAUGUUGUCUCCAGCUGCCCUCUCAGAGGGAAAGGGAGAAUCGUCAGAAUCCAAUUUCUUUUGGAGAUCAAACACCCUCAGCGGCACCUGAGCUUGUGGUUCUCAGCAGUGUGGGUUUGAGGAUGAAGACUGUGUCUCCACCAGCCAGUCUGUCUUGAUUUUAUUGUGGAGUCAGUGUUAAGAUUGUAGCUCGGCUUUUCCCUUGCACUGAAACAUCCUUGCUUGAGCAUUUUACUUGAAUUUCUUUAAUCACAAAGCUGUCAUUAAAUUAUCUGCUUAGAAUGAAAUUGACUGUCAGGUGUGAAAGUUGCCACAAUUGUGUGGGUGUGUUCGAGGAUGUGUGUAUCUAUUUCCUUUUGCUCUAACUGCCCUUACUUCACUUCUAACCUUUGAAUGGAUGCUGGAAGAGGGAGCAGUCUCUUGUAGACUGCUCUUGAUUGGAUGAGGAAAGAGAAUUCCGAGGGCUUGUAGGAAGCAACCCCUCAGAUCUCACUGCUGUGCCACAGAAUUUCGUGUUAAGUAUUGUGUGGCCAAACUGAGAGAGUGCUUUAAAGGGAAAAAAAAGUUUACGUUUGAUGCACCUCAUCAGCCUUUGGGGACACUUCUUAAAUGAAUACACUCUGGUGAACUCUUUCUUUGUGCGGGUGGGCAGACAGGUGCAGGGCAGGGCUCACUGCCGCACUCAGCCUCCUCAGGCAGGAUGGCUCCUGAUACAGCCCAGGGUGUGAUUUCAAAUUGACAGCACAUUUUCAAAUCAAGAACCGUGAACAUGUUUUAGCCUGUUUAUUAAAUAACUCACAGUUUUGCAGAUACUAAAUGCUAAGAUAGCUAUUAAUAGGUUUCUUGUUUAUUUUUUUUAACAAAUUGUUACUGCCUGUUUUAAAAUCAUGUGUUAUGUGAAACUUUCUCCGUAAACAAACAAUUUCCUUUUACUUUUCACCUUGCACAGGGCAUGCUUUCCAAUGCAGACAAAUUGAGUGUCUUAGAAGCACUAAUAAUCCUGGGUGCCUGCCCUUGGCUUAUUAGCCCAUCUGAGAGUUGUUGCCAUCCAGUUUUACAAUUGUGUUCAUCCAGUUACAAAAAGUGAGAUGCUGGGGAGUGCUUUGUAAUUCUCUAGUAAAAAACUCUCUGAAGGCGUACGUUUUCUUGUCAUUAUUUGGUAUUGGGAACAUUUGAUCUUUAGGAGCUGCUGCUAUCCCGUUGCUAACCUAGUCCUUAAGGGAAGCUAUAGAAAGCGAAAGGGGGCUCUGGAAUGUGCAGGGAGGAGUAAUCGCAGCAGGCAGCUACAGGAGAGCCCUGCGUUUCAAGUUCACUCUUCCAGAGCAUGUGGGGUAAGUACCCUAAACCCUGUUUCAUUUACAGUAAACCUGUCCUUGCUGUGUGUGUCUGGUGUACAUGUCUGUAUUUAGAUAGGAUUGUUGACAUGGUAAAGAGGGCGCAUGGCUGAGACUUAACAUCUAUAAAAUGGAUGAGAAGUGUUUGCUCAGCAAAUUAACAAUUGAAAUGAAAACUAGAUUACAUAGAAGACUGAGUUUAUUCAAGAAAAUAACCAAACCAGUCUUUUAAAGUACCAAAAGAUGUCUUUUACUGCUUCACGUACAACAGCGUCCUGAUUGCAGAUUCCAGCAAAGGAGAGAGAGUACACAGUACCUAUAUUGAGGUUACCUUCCUGCCACUGGUGAAAAUCGUAAAGCUCUGCUUUCAAAUAAAAUCUUCAGUUUGUUACAGAAUCUACCAUCCAUUUAUGGAUGAUACUACUGUAGUCCUUUAUGCUCUAGGAGGAAAUGGAGCUACUGGCUUGUCUUAUUGCAGUGAUCUUAUCAUUCCAGGAAUUUUAUAAAGAUCUUAACAGUUUAUGGAGUUCCCGUCAUGGCGCAGUGGUUAACGAAUCUGACUAGGAACCAUGAGGUUGUGGGUUCGAUCCCUGCCCUUGCUCAGUGGGUUAACGAUCCGGCGUUGCUGUGAGCUGUGGUGUAGGUCACAGACGCGGCUCGGAUCCCGCGUUGCUGUGGCUCUGGCGUAGGCCGGGGGCUACAGCUCCGAUUCGACCCCUAGCCUGGGAACCUCCAUAUGCCGCGGGAGCAGCCCAAGAAAUGGCAAAAAGACCAAAAAAAAAAGAUCUUAACAGUUUAGGCAGAUGAAGUGUUUGAAGAAGUAAGUUAUACAUUAGACACAUCCAUAUCUUUCCUGUGUUCUUCCCACUUAGUUCAUCUUCAGGGUUUCUUAACCAGUUCAGAUAUUGGGAACAAAGCAACAAGAUUGUAGACUAUGGUGACAAUGAAACAGAGUAUGUUAGUAAAUGAGGCAGAAAGAGUGUGUGUAUCUUUCCUGAUAUCUUUUCAGGUGAUAUUUGUGAGAUAUACAUUUCUGAAUUAGUAAAGGAUAGAUUGUUACCAGUGUUGGUUUUAAGUAGCUUUGGUAGCUUUUAAAAGCUUACUUGAUUGGCUUUUUCCAAGCUAUGGUCUACAGUGGGUCAAAUCACCUUGGCCAAGAAGCCAGAGUUGCACAACUCAAGAGUGUUCAGAUAGAAAAGUGUGGGGCUCUCUAUGCCUUGGGAACUAAACCAGAAAUCUGUAGAACCAGAAGUGAGUGCUUUUAAUUAUUCAUUCUGCAAAGAGUUUUGUUUUAUCUUCACUUGGCCCACCUAUGUGGUACAUAGAACCCUAAAGAUUUUUGCCUCAUUGGCCCAAAGGAACAAUUCAGGCAAGAAUUCUUACCUUAGACACUUGAACGGUCAGAAUUUAUCUUCAGCCGUGAAUUUUGGCCUGGUCCUCUGAUU